rnacentral:RNase_P_RNA from 1 species
CUUUGGGGCCAGGUCGUCGCUCCGAGUUCUUUGAUCCCAAGGUGCGGGUAAUGCCGCGCCCGAUGAGUUCGGAGAGGAAAGUCCGGACACCGCAGGGCAGGAUGCCGCGCGAGCUUUCGGGCAAGCGCGGGCGGCGCGCUUCAAGGCGCGUCGACGGACAGUGUCACAGAAAACAAACUGCUUCCGAGUUUGAGUGAAGGUGAUGGGGAAGGGUGAGAAGGGUGACCUUCCCACUUGCACCCUCGCUUUCACUUCUCACGCGUGAAGUGAGGGUGAAAAGGUGGGGUAAGAGCCCACCGCGCCGCCGGCGACGGCGGCGGCACGAAAAACCCCUUCCGGUGCAAGGCAAAAUAGGUGGCUGGGCGGCCCGUCCAAUAGCCACGGGUAUGCCGCAUCUGCCGCCGCCCCUCCGGGGGCGGUGGCGGGCGGAUCCGCCUCAGGGCGGAACCGAGAGAAAUGACGAUCCCCGCGCCGCUGAGGCGCGGAACAGAAUCCGGCUUACCGGCCCCAAAGCUGA